rnacentral:rRNA from 1 species
GAAACUAACAAGGAUUCCCCUAGUAGCGGCGAGCGAAGCGGGAAGAGCUCAAAUUUAUAAUCUGGCACCUUCGGUGUCCGAGUUGUAAUCUCUAGAAAUGUUUUCCGCGUUGGACCGCACACAAGUCUGUUGGAAUACAGCGGCAUAGUGGUGAGACCCCCGUAUAUGGUGCGGACGCCCAGCGCUUUGUGAUACAUUUUCGAAGAGUCGAGUUGUUUGGGAAUGCAGCUCAAAUUGGGUGGUAAAUUCCAUCUAAAGCUAAAUAUUGGCGAGAGACCGAUAGCGAACAAGUACCGUGAGGGAAAGAUGAAAAGCACUUUGGAAAGAGAGUUAACAGUACGUGAAAUUGUUGGAAGGGAAACGCUUGAAGUCAGACUUGCUUGCCGAGCAAUCGGUUUGCAGGCCAGCAUCAGUUUUCCGGGAUGGAUAAUGGUAGAGAGAAGGUAGCAGUUUCGGCUGUGUUAUAGCUCUCUGCUGGAUACAUCUUGGGGGACUGAGGAACGCAGUGUGCCUUUGGCGGGGGUUUCGACCUCUUCACACUUAGGAUGCUGGUGGAAUGGCUUUAAACGACCCG